GUCAACCCUCAAUCAAACAGUGCUCGUCCCAUAUUCAUUCGAAUCUCGAAAAUUCUCUACACUGCAUCGAAAUGAAAACUCCUUCUCCUCCUCUCACGCUUUGGUGAUCUUGCUGAUUUUCGAGAUAUAAAAAGUGGGCAAGAUUUAUAUGUACGAGUUGCCACUUCGGAUACGGAUGGUAAACAUGGGAAUCGCAAAAAGGUAAUCUUACCGGUUACAAUUAUAGCUUCGCUGGUUCUUGUGAUGUUAUCAGCAUUCUGUUUUUACAACACCAAGAAAAAAUAUAAAGGUAAAUUUCUUAGCCAGAAUAUACUUUAUAUUUCACAGAUUAAUUCUAAAGCUUAAAACAUCUACACAUAUUCCUUGUAAAAAAGAAAUAAAAAUCUACACACAUAUU